AUUCUCUUAUAGGCAGCACAUAUACUAAAAUUGGAAUGACAUAGAGAAAAUUAGCAUGGCCCCUGGGCAAAGACAACACAUUCCAUAUUUUAAAAAGAAGAAGUAGGA
ensembl:snRNA U6 U6 spliceosomal RNA